UGUACAGUAUUAAUUAUGAUACUUUAUCAUUCCACAUAGUAGCCUAGUACAAUUGUCCACAAUUUCAAAAACAGUUUAGAUCUGAAAUAUCAACAUGGAGAGGUAUUUACUGAUCCUCAUAAUUAUAUCAGGUGUGUUUUCUGACAGCAUUGGGCCAAGUGACAAAGAUUCGAAUAUAAUCAAGGAAGAAGGAGAGUCUGUGAAACUGAGAUGCACAUAUGACACAACCAGCAAUAAUGUUUGUCUUUACUGGUUCAGACAGUAUCGUAAUAAAGAACCUCAGUAUUUACUGUGGAAAGGUGCUCGAUCAUACAGCGGAUAUGAGAAUAUACCAGACCAUCAACAGUUUCAGUCAACAACAUCCCAAACAUCCACUGAACUCACUAUUAACAGUGUAACUCUGUCAGAUUCAGCUCUCUAUUACUGUGCUCUAAGAGUUGGAGCCCAGUGAUACAAAAUGCCUGAAAAGCUUUACAAAAACUAUCACACAGUUCUUGGUUUAAAACUCAAUUAUCAAAUGUGUAUUAUACCACAUGUACCACUGAGACUGUAAAUAUUAGAAUGUGGUAUAACACCUGCUGAAUAAUUUAGGAGUGCAUGAAGAGAGUAGGGAAGGAGUGACAUGAUAAUGAACUAGAACACGUUGCCGUACAUUUACGGCAUUUUUUUAAGUGAAACCUUUUGUUUUAAGUUUAAAUUAAAAACAUACAAGACAUCUAUACAAAACUAGCACUGUGUUAUCUAAAUUCUAAUAUUUGAACUAUAAUAAAUAAGAAAGGGGAAUUAUAGAAGCUGUUUCAAAUUGAUUUAAUAU